rnacentral:rRNA from 1 species
UAAGGAAUUUUGCACAAUGGGCGAAAGCCUGAUGCAGCAACGCCGCGUGAACGAUGAAGUUUUUAGGAAUGUAAAGUUCUGUCGUAUGGGAAGAGAUCUUUCGAAUGUUAAUACUAUUCGUUAAUGACGGUACCAUACAAGAAAGCACCGGCUAACUUCGUGCCAGCAGCCGCGGUAAUACGAGGGGUGCUAGCGUUGUCCGGAUUUACUGGGCGUAAAGGGUACGUAGGCGUUUUAAUAAGUUGUAUGUUAAAUAUCUUAGCUUAACUAAGAAGAUGCAUCCAAAACUGUUAAAAUAGAGUUUGAGAGAGGAACGCAGAAUUCAUGGUGGAGCGGUGACAUGCGUAGAU